rnacentral:lncRNA from 1 species
AGGAGCUCAGCCACCAGUCGAUGGGGCCCCUCAGCUCCUGUUCCCACUGCUGCAAGUAGUCGUCUAACUCAGUUCCUCGUCCCCUCCAGGGAGUGCCGUGGCAGGUGGUUGGAAGGAAGCCUGAGCACCAUGCCCCUCGGUGCAGCCCCCGGGAGUGCGGUGGGAACUGGCUGGCUGGCCACCUUCAGCUGCUAGCCGGCUCAGCCUGGAAAUUGGAGCGUCCGGCUGUGAAUACACAUGUGAAGAAGUGCUUUGGACUCCAAGACAAAGGUCUCUCUUCAGAUGUCCCCGUCUGCGUGUGUCCUGUGAGUCCUGCCAGGACGCCUCCCGACGCCGGAGUUAAUCAUGUUCUCACUGCCUCUGUGCGUCUUGUGUCUGCCCCUGCUUCAGCACACACCACACGGUCUUGGGGGACUCGGUUUCCCUGUUGGCCUUCCUGAGAGAACUGUGAAUUCUGUGGGCAGGGUCACUCUCUUGCUCACCACUCUCCCUCUGAGCCAAGAAGCCGUCUGGUGGUGUCUUCGUGAACGCAGGAGGAGAUGAGCUCAGCGUCAUCCUGCGCAGCUCUGGUUAAAGGACUGGUGUCCAGGAAAAAUCCAACUCCAGGGAGACAGGAACCGGGUUGCUCCCAGCAGAGCGAAGAAGCUCAGCACGACAGGGGACAUUCACAGCCAAAGGCAAGCACAUGGCAGAAGGCACAGCCUCUCCUUGGGGUUUCAGGGGAGCCCUGGGCCUGGGAGACUGUUGCCGUUCUGCCUGGUUGGGAAAGACAAGGACUUGGGAGUACAACCACCCCCUUGAUGCUGGAUUUCCUUCACUCGAGUGAAUGCUCAUUGGCUGGAAACUCUAGACAACUGGCACAGACAGGCCCCCAUCCCAUAGGACUGAAACGAAGAAGGUUUUCUCUUCUGUCUUGGGAUUUGUCUGUUUCCCCAAGAGGCCAUGGAGUCUCUCCUAGGUCCUCUGCUGACACAGCAGUGUGGGUCCGGAGACUGAGCAUGGCAUCUGCAAGCCCAGGGUUCCCCGGGGCCCCCGCUCCAGACUCUGAGCAUGCCAAUGGCUGA